AAUUCUCAACCAUUGAACUUGUUUCUUUGGCUUGGAUGUGGGAGUUGCGGGCUUUGCAAAGAAGUCGGCUCUCCUUAAAUGCAUUAGUGGAAACCGCUUGAGGAUUCAUUUCACUUUUGGCGUGAUAGUAUCGUCGUCGAAGGGCAACAUGUUUCCGAGGUAUCUGCUCUCUAACCGUCUGAAAAAGACACUUUAAUGACUU
rnacentral:misc_RNA from 1 species